rnacentral:misc_RNA from 1 species
GGAAGUAAAAGUCGUAACAAAGUCUCCGUUGGUGAACCAGCGGAGGGAUCAUUACCGAGUUUACAACUCCCAAACCCAAUGUGAACCAUACCAAACUGUUGCCUCGGCGGGGUCACGCCCCGGGUGCGUCGCAGCCCCGGAACCAGGCGCCCGCCGGAGGGACCAACCAAACUCUUUCUGUAGUCCCCUCGCGGACGUUAUUUUUACAGCUCUGAGCAAAAAUUCAAAAUGAAUCAAAACUUUCAACAACGGAUCUCUUGGUUCUG